rnacentral:lncRNA from 1 species
GAUGCGGAAACCGAGACGGGCUGGAUGGAAAACUCUUUCCAGACAGACUCCGGGGCCCUCAACUGGUCUCCGACCUUCCCCUGCAACCUGCGACACCUGCCAUUUUCCCAUCUUAGGCUCCAGAAGCAGAAUCAAGUGGGAUGUCUUGGAAGAAAAACAAACAAAAGGCCCACUAGGUGGAGUGAAAUGGAUCAGGAGCAAUUAUGUUCAAUUUCACCUUUAAGUUUUCUCAAAAGGAGGAGCAUUAAGAAUCAGCCACCUUAGUACAUACUUAAAGAUUUACUGAAACCUGAUCCUGUCCCCGCUGAUGAAACAUCAGAGGAAUGGGAUCCUGUAGGUGAAGAUCAUCAGCUUAUAAAAUCCUGUUGCCAUCAAUGGGGGUAGCAGGAAAAUGAUGAAGAUUGGUUAAGGGGCCAGUGGACUCAGCAUUGAAAUGAAUCAUGGACUUGAAGCCAAAAGACUCAGUUUGUGUCCCAGCUCUCUCAAGCAAAGCCCCCAAGUCCCAGUUUCCUCAUCUAUAAAAAAUAAUAAAAAUACUUAAUGGACAAAGUUGUGUGGGAAUCAAAUGAGAUAAAGUAUGCGCUGCAUAUGCCCUAAAGUCUUAUUUAAAUAAAGGCAUUCUUUUCAUCUGAGAAAUUGAAGAAAAAGAUGCCCUGAACAAGAAAGACAGGAGAAAAGAUUUUUUUUUUUUUUAAUGAAGGAUAAAAUGAUGAAAUCCCCCCAGGUAUUGCUACAGAAAGGCCUUACCCAUGAGCUGUAGGCAUAUAUCCGGUCCUAAGGUCCAUUUUGGAGUAGCCCAGCACUCAGUCUGAAAGAUUGGACACUGAGAAAUAUGUGCAUCCCAUUUUUCUAACUAGCAGCAUUUUGAUCCUGUCUUAUUAUCCAUACCCAGGCUAGCACACAUGAUUUUUUCUGCUUGCACUUCAGGAGAAGAUAGUCAUUGGACAAAAGGUGGGUCAUUCUCACGUUGACCAAGUUUCUGUUCCAGUAUCACCCUCCCAGUCCACAGGUCGAGAGGAACCAUACUUGAAGAAACAUACCUGAAGGGUUUCAUCCAUAUGUGGGCCUGAUUUGGAUGAUAAAAUCCUGCAUCUUGAGCCUGAUCUUGAUGCUGCCUGUGUUCUGAUGCCAUCAGGAGUUGAGAGUCUAGGGGUUUUAGAAAGGGUGAAUGUAUUUUCCCAUAGGCAAGGAACAUAAUCAAUGGCCAAAAUGUGCACUGUGACAGAUUAAAGGUUGCUACAAAUUCUCUGAUACCCUUCCAUUAAGAGGUAGGGCAGAUAUUCCCUCCCCUCAAAUCUGGGUGGGCUCCAUGACUUGCUUUGAUCAACAGAAAACGGCAGCAGUGAUGCUGGGCCAGUUGUUGGAUCCAGGCCUUAAGAACCAACAACUUCCACUUAAGUUCUCUUGGAACACUGAGUCCCUGACUACCCUAAUAUCAUGUUGGAAAGGCUACAUGUAGGCACUCUAGUUGCCAGUCCCAGCCAAGACCAGCUUUUCAGCCAUCCCCAUCACUAAAUUUGUAAAUGAAGCCAUCUGGAAUCUCCAGACCAGCUCAUUUGGCAGCUGGGUAUCAUCAAGUUAUCUCUGCUGACUCCACAUGGAACAAAGGAAUCACCCAGCUGAGCCCUAUUCAAACUAUUGACCAAAAAAAUAGUGAGACAUAAUAAAAUGAUGUUUUAAGCC